GCUGGCAUCCUACUAGUUUGACUCUCAGUAAUAAGACUUGUCAAAGAUCCAAGAAUCUGAAAGUUGAUGAUAAAUUUCCAUGUGUAUCACCAUCAAUGACUGAAAGUCAGCAUCCACAGAAUUGGGAGAGAUGAACUUAAUAGAUAAAGAUGAAUUGGAGUUGUGUUUCUCUUAGAGAAUGAUACUCUCCAUGACUUGUGUGAGUCACAGCUGCCAGAAAACAAAGAGGCCAAGGAACAUAUUAAAGAAGCAC
rnacentral:lncRNA from 1 species